CGACAGAUCCUCACUCUUUAGUUUGGGGGUUCUAACAUCUCUGUACGCCGAGCAGCAAUGGAGACUCCAUAUGCCAGAUGGACCUUCUACUGCACUGUGACUGCAACAUGUCUGAUGUUUGGAGGAGGAAGUGACCUCACUUUCUACCCACACGACUACAGAACCAACCUGUAGUGGCAGCUGAUGAACAGGACUGCUCACGAGGAGAACGAGGUGAACUGCUAUGUGUGCGCAGCUACGAAUUGCCACACACAACUCAGGUCUGCACCCAGGGAGCAUCACUGAUGACAAACAGAUGUGUCUCUAUGGCCUGAGCACACAACCACGACUCAGCGUCCCCGUGAAAAGAAGAAAAUGCAAAUGAUGCCACAAAAGGACUUUUUGGAUCUAUGAACUGUUCAUACACCUACUGCGACAGACACCGGAUUACAUCAACUACAUUGCCUGCAGGGGUCAAAGGGCGACUCCACACUGCAAAGUCUGGAAGGGCAACCCAGACUGUGACAACCUGCCUCAGGAGAGGAGUUUCAACACCACGCAUAAGACAAAAAGGAGACAAGAGACAACACUGUGCAGCGCCAUAGUGCCAGGAGAUUAUGGCUCAUGGAUGUUGGCAGAUUGGUACUUCAUAUGCGGAAAUGAAAGCACAAAAUGAUCUACACACCCGCUCCAAACGAACAGUUAUGCCAGAGGUCAAAAGAUGGGGAGGCCUCACAACACAUACUGGAGUUCCAUGGGAAUUCAGGAUUUGGAACGGCGGAGAAAAAUUCAUGCAAAGUCUUUUUCCGUGGGUUGAUCUAGGAGAGAUUCGGGACCACGUUGAGAUCAACAGAUAUGAAUUAAUGCGACUCAUCAACAGUACACAGCCAAUGGCACCAAGAAAGAACUGACUGAACUGAGGAACAUGGUUAUGCAAAACCGUGUUUUCCUGGACUUCCUCACAGCCUCUCAGGGAGGGGUCUGCAACGACUGCACUUUUGUGCUUGAUGAAACAGGAACUGGAAGAACUUAAACAUUACAUAGAAAGUGGAACACAAGGAUCAUCUUCUUUUGAUUUGCUUUCAUGGCUUACUUCUGGACCAUGGUGGUCCUUGCUGUUAAAGCUCGUGACACCUGUUCUGAUUGUUUUAGUUCUGUUCUGUCUUUUCACAAGUUGCAUUAUUCCUUGUCUACGACAUAUGAUGUUUAAAACAGUUAACACAACUGUUAUCAACUAUCAGCUGGCAAAAGCAUCUUAUGAGACAACUGAAGACUUGUUCCAAGUUUCUGACGAUUUUCUGAACAAUGAUGAAUUUCUGUAAUCAAUAAACAGAUUAAUUCAUUUGCUGAAUGAUUCCUGCACCGAAAAUGUG